rnacentral:misc_RNA from 1 species
AAGUCGUAACAAGGUUUCCGUAGGUGAACCUGCGGAAGGAUCAUUACUGAUUAUUUUUUGACAUUGUGAAUCUGUGUUUUGUUUUUGUUUGGGGUUUGUUUUGUUUUUUUGGUGUGGAGUGGGCUGUUGUCUGUGUCACCUGGUUUCGGCCGGUGCGACGCCGCGACAGCACCGUGACACAACAAACAAGACAAGACAAAACACAAACAAACAAAGCACAUGUUGUACCCGUACCAACCAUACCGUCUAAUCAAAACAAAACAAACAAAACAACUUUUAACAAGGGAUCUCUUGGCUCUC